GUGUGCACCUGUCACUGGGGCUCCUGGGGCCUCUGUGACAGCAGGUGUGCAGCACAGGCCUGGGUGUGGCAGGCACUCACUCAGAGCUGCUCUCCCCCCGUCUCUCCCUCUGAAAGCCGAAGAUGCAGGAGCUGGGUGGCAGGAGCCAUCCAGACACCCAGAAAGUUCUAACUGCAGGGAGCCGGGAGACCACCAAGGUCAUCCAGACAGCCUGCCAGCGAGCCAGCUACCGAUGUCAAGGGCGCGAGGCCGUGGCAAUCCUCGGCCAAGUCAAUUAUGAUGGGCACAAGUGAGUCAGGCCUGGGAAGAACGCUUGUCCACUUCCCUACGCCGAUGGGGUUCUUUUGGGGGUAAAAGGAGGCAGGGAGGCGAAAGCUGUCGGCAACGUGGGUCUCCUGACUUUACUCGGGCUGUGGGUGUGCUGUGGGGCUGGCGCCUUUACAAACAAUGCCUCAUUUUAUCUUCGUCACAUCCCCCAAACGGCCCUGCUUACCAAACAGGGAAACAGGAGGUCGGAGAGGUUAAGCAGCUUGGAGGUCACACAGCAGGGCAGGCAGUGGCGGGCUCAGGUCCCAGCUCAGUUCUGAGCACAAGGCUUGGCCUCUGGAACACAGCA
rnacentral:lncRNA from 1 species